AUAUGACACGGACCGACGGUGGCCAGUCUUGGCCCCACAUUCGGACGUGGCGCGAUGAC
rfam:Alphaproteobacteria bacterium RIFCSPHIGHO2_12_FTLL_66_14 rifcsphigho2_12_scaffold_24762, whole genome shotgun sequence.